rnacentral:rRNA from 1 species
UACAGAGACUGCAAGCGUUAUUCGGAUUCACUGGGCGUAAAGGGUGCGCAGGCGGUCUUCCAAGUCAGUGGUGAAAGCCCGGAGCUCAACUCCGGAACUGCCAUUGAAACUGUUGGACUUGAGUAUGAGAGAGGUGAGUGGAAUUCCCAGUGUAGAGGUGAAAUUCGUAGAUAUUGGGAAGAACACCGGUGGCGAAGGCGGCUCACUGGCUCAUUACUGACGCUCAGGCGCGACAGCGUGGGGAUCAAACAGG